UUUUGCCAUUAGCUGGAAACAAGGGACAUGUGGCAACCUGUACCGGACAGACAAUUUUGGGCUGAAAUCAAGGAUGUCCCUGAUAAUAAGGGACUGUUGACCUUCCCAGCAUCAUACAACUUCACAGGACAGCCAAUGAAUCCUACAGACUUCCAGCUUUUGCAGAAACAUCUGCCCUCCGGACUCUUGUGCCAAGAUGCGGGCUUGUCUUCCAUUGUUUAUGGGAAGCCUCACUUCAUCGCAUUGGGUUGUACCUAAAGGCUGAAGAAUUACUUGCCAGGAUGGUGUGUGGGCUGUGAUGAGAUCCUUUGUCAUGGUGCCGGGUUCUGAGGCCCCUCAUCUGGGGGUGGUGCAGAAGAGUCAGGAGGUGAAGCCCCAGCUGUGCCAGAUCCACCUUCUCCACUACAACCUGUGGAUGCACCCUUCUCUUGCCUAUAGCCUCAGACACAGAGGACUCUGCAGACAAUGGUACGAGGGAGACUCACCAGCCUCACUUCAGCCUGCAUCUACAAAAUAGGGCACAGGGGUAAGCCCCUUUAAGCUCUCCGGCAGGGGUACGGGCAGGCUUCAAUUCCCCUUCCAAAGGACUCAGGACUUUGCUGAAGCAACAUUGUUGUGUAAGCCUUGCUCCGCUCCCAAGUAGACUUGAUUUACCAGCUUGACCUUUUGCUUGCCUGGCCCCUUUCACACAAUCAAAUGCAGGGUGGGCUAGAAGGGAGGCAGGAACCUACCUGCUUGCUCCCACAUGAUCAGAACCUCCAUUGGGCUCAGCUGCUGGCAUGCCCUCAUGGACACCACAACAGCAUUCCUCAGGGCUGCAUUCGGGAGCUGGGAGUCCUCUAGCAUCCCUCAAGGUCAAAAAGGAGCCAGGCAGGAGAGCAUCAUCCUAUCCAGCUUUUAUACCCAGUCCUUGACCAAGGUAGGAGGAAAAGCUGUCCUCCCCAGCUCUGGUACCACCCGCCACCACUUCUCCCUCCUGCCACCUAAGUUGUUUGCUCCCACACAACCAAAAAUUGGGAGCUCACACAGCUCCCAAACUUGAGUAGGACACGUGUCCUACCCAGUUUUCAGUUGUGUAAAAAGCCUCUAAGCUUUUAUGAACAUUUCAGAAAUGUGGUCUCUGCUCAACUCAUAUGCCAUAUUGGGGAAUCAGUCUUCAAAUGAUCAUAAUAAGCA